rnacentral:rRNA from 1 species
CCUACGGGGGGCAGCAGUAGGGAAUAUUGCUCAAUGGGGGAAACCCUGAAGCAGCAACGCCGCGUGGAGGAUGAAGGUUUUCGGAUUGUAAACUCCUUUUGUUAGAGAAGAUAAUGACGGUAUGUAACGAAUAAGCACCGGCUAAUUCCGAGCCAGCAGCCGCGGUAAUACGGAGGGUGCAAGCGUUACUCGGAAGCACUGGGCGUAAAGGGGGCGUAGGCGGGAUAGCAAGUCAGAUGUUAAAUUCUAUGGCUUAACCAUAGAACUGCAUUUGAAACUGUUAUUCUAGAGUAUGGGAGAGGUAGGUGGAAUUCUUGGUGUAGGGGUAAAAUCCGUAGAGAUCAAGAGGAAUACUCAUUGCGAAGGCGGCCUACUAGAACAUAACUGACGCUGAUGCGCGAAAGCGUGGGGAGCAAACAGGAUUAGAUACCCUUGUAGUC